rnacentral:rRNA from 1 species
UACAGAGGGUGCGAGCGUUGUCCGGAAUCACUGGGCGUAAAGGGUGCGUAGGCGGGUCUUUUAAGUCAGGGGUGAAAUCCUGGAGCUCAACUCCAGAACUGCCUUUGAUACUGAAGAUCUUGAGUUCGGGAGAGGUGAGUGGAACUGCGAGUGUAGAGGUGAAAUUCGUAGAUAUUCGCAAGAACACCAGUGGCGAAGGCGGCUCACUGGUCCGGUACUGACGCUGAGGUGCGAAAGCGUGGGGGAGCAAACAGG